rnacentral:rRNA from 1 species
AAACUUAAAGGAAUUGACGGGGGCCCGCACAAGCGGUGGAGCAUGUGGUUUAAUUCGAUGCAACGCGAAGAACCUUACCUACUCUUGACAUCCAGAGAACUUAGCAGAGAUGCUUUGGUGCCUUCGGGAACUCUGAGACAGGUGCUGCAUGGCUGUCGUCAGCUCGUGUUGUGAAAUGUUGGGUUAAGUCCCGCAACGAGCGCAACCCUUAUCCUUUGUUGCCAGCGGUUCGGCCGGGAACUCAAAGGAGACUGCCAGUGAUAAACUGGAGGAAGGUGGGGAUGACGUCAAGUCAUCAUGGCCCUUACGAGUAGGGCUACACACGUGCUACAAUGGCAUAUACAAAGAGAAGCGACCUCGCGAGAGCAAGCGGACCUCAUAAAGUAUGUCGUAGUCCGGAUUGGAGUCUGCAACUCGACUCCAUGAAGUCGGAAUCGCUAGUAAUCGUGGAUCAGAAUGCCACGGUGAAUACGUUCCCGGGCCUUGUACACACCGCCCGUCACACCAUGGGAGUGGGUUGCAAAAGAAGUAGGUAGCUUAACCUUCGGGAGGGCGCUUACCACUUUGUGAUUCAUGACUGGGGUGAAGUCGUAACAAGGUAACCGUAGGGGAACCUGCGGUUGGAUCACCUCCUUU